rnacentral:snRNA from 1 species
CUUGAUCCUCAUUUGUACUGCU